rnacentral:rRNA from 1 species
UACGAAGGGGGCUAGCGUUGCUCGGAAUCACUGGGCGUAAAGGGCGCGUAGGCGGCCAUUCAAGUCGGAGGUGAAGGCCCAGGGCUCAACCCUGGAAUUGCCUUCGAUACUGUUUGGCUAGAGACCGGAAGAGGUAAGUGGAACUGCGAGUGUAGAGGUGAAAUUCGUAGAUAUUCGCAAGAACACCAGUGGCGAAGGCGGCUUACUGGUCCGGUUCUGACGCUGAGGCGCGAAAGCGUGGGGAGCAAACAGG